rnacentral:rRNA from 1 species
AAGGAAUUUUGCUUAUAGAAUAGUAUAAGCGGCGGACGGGUUUUUAAAAAACGUGGAUAACCUACCUAUAAGACUGGGAUAACUUCUGGAAACCGGAGCUAAUACCGGAUAAUAUUUUGAACCGCAUGGUUCAAAAGUGAAAGACGGUCUUGCUGUCACUUAUAGAUGGAUCCGCGCUGCAUUAGCUAGUUGGUAAGGUAACGGCUUACCAAGGCAACGAUGCAUAGCCGACCUGAGAGGGUGAUCGGCCACACUGGAACUGAGACACGGUCCAGACUCCUACGGGAGGCAGCAGUAGGGAAUCUUCCGCAAUGGGCGAAAGCCUGACGGAGCAACGCCGCGUGAGUGAUGAAGGUCUUCGGAUCGUAAAACUCUGUUAUUAGGGAAGAACAUAUGUGUAAGUAACUGUGCACAUCUUGACGGUACCUAAUCAGAAAGCCACGGCUAACUACGUGCCAGCAGCCGCGGUAAUACGUAGGUGGCAAGCGUUAUCCGGAAUUAUUGGGCGUAAAGCGCGCGUAGGCGGUUUUUUAAGUCUGAUGUGAAAGCCCACGGCUCAACCGUGGAGGGUCAUUGGAAACUGGAAAACUUGAGUGCAGAAGAGGAAAGUGGAAUUCCAUGUGUAGCGGUGAAAUGCGCAGAGAUAUGGAGGAACACCAGUGGCGAAGGCGACUUUCUGGUCUGUAACUGACGCUGAUGUGCGAAAGCGUGGGGAUCAAACAGGAUUAGAUACCCUGGUAGUCCACGCCGUAAACGAUGAGUGCUAAGUGUUAGGGGGUUUCCGCCCCUUAGUGCUGCAGCUAACGCAUUAAGCACUCCGCCUGGGGAGUACGACCGCAAGGUUGAAACUCAAAGGAAUUGACGGGGACCCGCACAAGCGGUGGAGCAUGUGGUUUAAUUCGAAGCAACGCGAAGAACCUUACCAAAUCUUGACAUCCUUUGACAACUCUAGAGAUAGAGCCUUCCCCUUCGGGGGACAAAGUGACAGGUGGUUGCAUGGAUUGUUCGUCAGCUCGUGUCGUGAGAUGUUGGGGUUAGGUCCCGCAACGAGCGCAACCCUUAAGCUUAGUUGCCAUCAUUUAGUUGGGCACUCUAAGUUGACUGCCCGUUGACAACCCGGAGGAAGGGUGGGGAUUGACGUCAAUUCAUCAUGGCCCCUUAUGUAAUUCGGCCUUAACCCACGGUUGCCUAACAAUGUGAACAAUAUACAAAGAGGCACA